AAAUAAUGAUAAUGUGGAAAUUCUAAUAAUUUUCACGCUGACAGCUGUUCUGAACUUGCUAACUGCAUGCCUCCCCUCCUCCCGCGGCAAGAGGCCGAAUGGCCUACACACGGCAGCUCCAGAUUCCUCCCCAUUACCACCUGUCAGCCUCGUCCAUGUAGCUAUCCAGUCUACUCUUAAAACAAGCUAUCGUCCCUGCACUCACUAUGUGAUUGCUGAGUCUAUUCCAUUCCCCCACCACCCUAUUAUUAAACCAAUGCCUGCCCAUUUCCCUCCUAAAUCUAUACUUUUUUAAUUUAAGUCAAUUACUGCAUGUUAUAUCUUGCCAAACAUCUUAUGCAGCGCGUCCGGCACCCAGACCAGGAUAUAGUAAGUUUGGAACUGGAGUCACAGGCCUGAAGGGGCCUCUUCCAGAAGUCAUCUGUGAGUAUCUGUGAGUUAAUCAGCAUAUCUCCACUCUUUCAUCCCUUACACUGAUAAACUGGAACAGCCUUCCAUUGUCCGCAUUACCUCCUGCCUAUAAUUUGACCUUCAAGAAGAGUGUAUCAAGACUCUACUUUUGUCUGUUUGGGAGUGAUCCGAACACGUCCGAUAUCAUCCAAGAGAAUGUGGCAGCUGAAGGGGGAGAGGCCAAGAAAGAGGCCAAGGGUGAAGACAUUUAGCCACCCCCCCUGAAGUACAUGGCAUCAUUCAACCCUCUUGGUGAGCUACAGGAAUGUGCUUCCCAUUGCAGUGCACCAGCUCCAUGUACUGAUUUUGGUGUGAACUUGAUGGGGUUGGAGGAAACUUGACUCGGCCAUCAAGCUCACCACAAUAUAACAUGAAAAGUGAAAAUUGCUGCACACAACAGUCUGUCGUCUGCACCGGGAGGCAAGGCAGCUCAAAGCCCAGGCUGUUACAAAUCCUGGGCAGUUUUUGCCCAGAGCCAGCAAUUUUUUAGAUCCAAUAGGGAUGGAUUUUUUAUGAGGUCAGGUUCAACAUGCUGCAAGAUGCCAAGAUCUAAGCCUAGUAGGAGAUAUGGGUUACAAGAGAGGAGGUUUGCUCUGGCCUUAUACUAUCAAAGUCCAAAUGCUAAUAGAUUUCUGAGCACAGUAUUUCACUUGUCUUCAGUUUCAACACUUCAAUCAUGACUCAGGGGUAUUUCAGUACAUGUUGGCUGGAGCAAACAGACUCUGACAGCCCUGCAGCAAAGAGCACAGGCUUUGUCAAAAGAAGAGAAACUUCGUGGGAUUUGCCAUUAUUUAGUAUUACUCUUGUUACGCCAAGAAUUUUUUUCCAUAUACUUUGCCAAAUAUUGCAAGUAAUGCACCAUUGUUGGGCUUGCUUGUUAUAAAUCAUAUCUUGUUCAAUUAACAAGCUUUGGGUGUCUGCCACUUUCCAGUUGUAAUGCAAGGAAUCAUUUAUCUUCCCUGCUAGAU